rnacentral:tRNA from 1 species
GCGCGCUUAGCUCAGCUGGUUAGAGUACUUGCUUGACAGGCAAGGGGUCAGAGGUUCGAGUCCUCUAGCGCGCACCA